GUUUUGACGUUACCGACAGAAUAAGCACCGGCUAAUUCUGUGCCAGCANCCGCGGUAAUACAGAGGGUGCAAGCGUUANUCGGAAUUACUGGGCGUAAAGCGCGCGUAGGUGGUUUGUUAAGUUGGAUGUGAAANCCCCGGGNUCAACNUGGGAACUGCAUCCAAAACUGGCAAGCUAGAGUACGGUAGAGGGUGGUGGAAUUUCCUGUGUAGCGGUGAAAUGCGUAGAUAUAGGAAGGAACACCAGUGGCGAAGGCGACCACCUGGACUGAUACUGACACUGAGGUGCGAAAGCGUGGGGAGCAAACAGGAUUAGAUACCCCUGGUNGUCCACGCCGUAAACGAUGUCAACUANCCGUUGGNAUCCUUGAGAUUUUAGUGGCGCAGCUAACGCAUUAAGUUGAC
rnacentral:rRNA from 1 species